rnacentral:tRNA from 2 species
GUUGCGGUGGCCGAGUGGUUAAGGCGUUGGACUUGAAAUCCAAUGGGAUCUUACCGCGCAGGUUCGAACCCUGUCCGCAACG